GAGGGGCGGGGCGUGGCGCCCACGGCGUUCGCGGAGCGCCUGGCCCCGGAGAUUCGGGAGGCGCUGGCGCUGUUCGAGCAGGCGGUUCAUCGC
rnacentral:tRNA from 1 species